rnacentral:lncRNA from 1 species
CACCGCCGCUUCCACACAACUAUGAAGCUAUUUUGAGAGAAGCUGACUCACCCAUCAACAAAUCCUCAGUGGAAAAACUCCUUGAACAGCUCCGUGCUGGAAUAACCUUAAACCAAAAGAGAAAGGUAACCCCAGCAUCAGAAAUUCAAACACUAUGCUCAGAUGAUUUAGUUUUGUGAAAUGUGAUAUUCCAGUUCGUGCCGAAAUUCAGCUCCAAAUCAAAAUAUAUUGGGCUUUCAAUUUGAUUUAAAGAAGGGAAACUUGUAGUUGUAAGUGAACUUAGAAACCAGCCAUCUUUGGUUAUGUCAUUAUUCUGUUAUUGCAGAAGUAUUGGGUUGACAAGAAGUCCAACAACUGCUUUAUGGUGUAUGCAAGGGAUCUCUCGAUCUCUUGGGCUGAAGACGAUCGUAACUGGCUCUGGCCCUCCCUGCAAGAAACCAGGUACCAAAAACUUCAAUACAUAACUUAUUGGUUUCUCAGUUUCUCCAGUCCUAUUGAAGUUGAAACAGAUAAACGCAAUAUACACAAAAAAUAAUAAUAAUUAAAUAAUAAUCAUAAAAUGCUAUCAGUACUCUCAAUCCUAACUCAGGUUUCAUUGCAGUGGUGUCUUCAUUGAUGCUGCUGAAAUGAUUAAUGAAUGUUGGCUAGAAGUGCAUGGACAAUUUGAGACUACAAAGCUGUCACCAGGAACUCUGUAUGAAGUUGCGUUUGUGGUCAAGCUGAAAGCUUCAGCUGAUGGAUGGGAUGUUCCAGUGAAUGUCAGUCUCACUCUUCCAGAUGGUAGCAAACAAUGGCAUGAAGUUAAGUUGAAGGAAAUCCCAAGAGAGCAAUGGAAAGAGAUUUUGGUUGGCGAGUUUAGAGCAUCACCCGAAAUACCUGGUGACAUGGAGUUUUCGAUGUAUGAAUAUGACAGUGGGAAAUGGAAUAGAGGAC